AUGGGCGAACCGCAGUUUAUCAUCGGCACCUCCAUGAGCGAUAUGCUCGCCAGCAUGGAGCGCGACGGCCGGGACCCUGCGACGCUCGACCUUGGCUUAAACUAUCUGCACCACUUCCUGUACGACUACCUCCCGCACCCGCCGGUCUACCCCACCGCCGCCCACUCGCUCUCCGCCAUGCCGUGGGUCCCCGACGGUGUCGACCGCAUCAACCGCCUCCCCGAUGCGGUCCUCCCGCCAAGGACGCCGCUCGCACUUCCGCCCUCACCUCGCGCUGGCGCCCCCUCUGGCGCAUGGCGCCACUCUCCCUUGUCGACAGCCAUCUACUUCCGGACGGCGGCGCGGCCGGGCAGUUUCCCAUCGGCGUUCCCUCUCCUCCACCAUGGAGGAGCACCGCGGCGAGAUAUCGCGGUGGCUCGACAUCCUCGUCGCCAAGGGGGUCCAAGAACUCGUCUUUGUCAACCCCCUUGGCCGAUUGAUCUGCGCCUCCCCGCCACGCUCUUCGGCUGCGCCUCCCUCACCCGCCUCUAUCUUGGCCUUUGGAGACUCCCGGACACGGCCGCCGUACCGCGCGGCGCCAGAUUCCCCAACCUCCGUGAGCUCGGCCUCUGCAUGACUGUCAUGGAGGACCGUGAUCUGGCAUUCAUGCUUGAAAGAAGCCCCGUCCUGGAGUUCCUCGUCCUCACGGGAAGCCAGACCGGAGUGCGCCUCCGCCUCGUCGGCCAGAGACUGCGGUGCGUUCAGCUGGGCCAUGCCUUAUUGGAGUACAUCGACGUGGUGGAUGCCCCUAGCCUGGAGAGGCUCUUCUUUUGGGAAAUUGGCAAGCUCAAGUCCUUCAGGAAGAGGAACGACGACAACCACUCCACCAUGAACGGCUCUUCCGGGAUCAAGAUUGGGCGUGCACCUAACCUGCGUGUGCUGGGAUACCUUCAGCCAGGAGAGCAACAGUUGGGGAUUAGCAACACCAUCGUCGUGGCUGGUAGCAAGGAGAACAUUCUCCCUAGUGUCCAGAUUUUGUCCAUGGAGGUGCAGUUUGGUGUCCGCAAUGCUGUCAAGAAAGUGCCCGGCUUUCUCCGCUGUUUCCCCAACCUAGAGACGCUCCAUGUUUAUUCCCCUCCCAUAUCUGAAGAGUCCACUGGCAAGGUCAAUCUCAAGUUCUGGCAGGAGGGCGGUCCCAUCAAAUGCAUCGUGCAGAGCAUGAAGAAGGUGUUCUUCUACGAGUUCCAUGGGUUGAGAAGCGAGCUUGCUUUCCUCAAGUUCAUCGCAGAGACCGGUCGGGUGCUGGAGCAUAUGGUGGUUCUGGUGGCCAAAGAAUGCUUCUCCUCUGGAGAUGAUAAUGUGAGGGCCAAGCUGAAGCCUCUAGCAAGCGUGAAAUGGAACAACAAGGCUUGCCAAGUACAGCUCUUCAAGAGCGGGCGCACUAACCCGGGAGGUCCUGUUUACAGCAACAAGAUAGCUCCCGACUUUGGGUUUGCUGACCCUUUUGACCUCCUCGGGCACUAG
rnacentral:rRNA from 1 species